rnacentral:rRNA from 1 species
AUUUUAUAGUGAAACUGCGAAUGGCUCAUUAAAUCAGUUAUAAUUUACUUGAUAAUUUUAUACCAGUGGAUAACCGUGGUAAUUCUAUGGCUAAUACAUACAUUAAAGGGCCUUACUAUGUAAGGCCUGUAGUUAUUAGAUAAAAAACCAAUGCAUGCAAAUGCUUUCUUGGUGAUUCAUAGUAAACUUACAGAUCGUUGUCUUCGACGACGUGUCAAUCAAAUUUCUGCCCUAUCAACUGUCGAUGGUAAGGUAGUGGCUUACCAUGGUUGCAACGGGUGACGGGGAAUAAGGGUUCUAUUCCGGAGAGGGAGCCUGAGAAACGGCUACCACAUCCAAGGAAGGCAGCAGGCGCGCAAAUUACCCAAUCCUAAUACAGGGAGGUAGUGACAAUAAAUAACAAUCCAGGGCCCUUAUGGGUCAUGGAAUUGGAAUGAAUACAAAUUAAAACUCUUAAUGAGGAACCAUUGGAGGGCAAGUCUGGUGCCAGCAGCCGCGGUAAUUCCAGCUCCAAUAGCGUAUAUUAAAGUUGUUGCAGUUAAAACGCCCGUAGUCGAAUUUUUGGGAGAACGAGGAUUUGAAAGGGUUUCAACCUUUGGUUGAUUAUUUUUUCUUUUUUUUGGUCUCUCAUUUUAAAUUCCUGGUCUUUGGGCUUAGUUGGUACUUUACUGUAUUGGCUAAGUCAUUUCCCUCGGGUGGGCCAGGAAUGAUUACUUUGAAAAAAUUAGAGUGUUCAAAGCGGGCUUUUUAAGCCGAAUACAUUAGCAUGGAAUAAUAAAAUAGGACUUUUGUUUUAUUUUGUUGGUUUAUAAAACUAAAGAAAUGAUGAAUAGGUCUGGUUGGGGAUAUUAGUAUUUAAUAGUCAGAGGUGAAAUUCUUGGAUUUAUGAAAGACUAACUUCUGCGAAAGCAUUUAUCAAGGACAGGCUCAUUGAUCAAGGACGAAAGUUGGGGGAUCGAAGAUGAUUAGAUACCGUCGUAGUCUCAACCAUAAACUAUGCCAACUAGGGAUUGGGGCUGAUCUUAUCAGUCUCAGCACCUUGUGAGAAAUCAAAGUUUU